CAGCAGCCACGGUAAUACGAAGGGGGCUAGCGUUGCUCGGAAUCACUGGGCGUAAAGGGUGCGUAGGCGGGUCUUUAAGUCAGGGGUGAAAUCCUGGAGCUCAACUCCAGAACUGCCUUUGAUACUGAAGAUCUUGAGUUCGGGAGAGGUGAGUGGAACUGCGAGUGUAGAGGUGAAAUUCGUAGAUAUUCGCAAGAACACCAGUGGCGAAGGCGGCUCACUAGCCCGAUACUGACGCUGAGGCACGAAAGCGUGGGAGCAAAUGGGAUUAGAUACCCCAGUAGUCCCUGUCUCUUAUACA
rnacentral:rRNA from 1 species